rnacentral:rRNA from 1 species
CACAGAGUUAGCCGCCUCUUCCUCUGGGGUAGAUCAGAACUUUCUUUCCCCUGACAGGAGUUUACAUUCCGAAGAACUUCGUCCUCCACGCGGCGUCGCUCCGUCACACUUUCGUGCAUUGCGGAAGAUUCGUUACUGCAGCCCCCCGUAGGAGUCUGGGCAGUGUCUCAGUCCCAAUGUGGCCGGCCGACCUCUCAGCCCGGCUACGCGUCAUCGCCUUGGUGAGCCGUUACCUCACCAACUAGCUGAUACGAAAUCGCCCGCUCCCAGACCGGAUUACUCCUUUGAGAUUCCCGCCAUGCGACAGGAAUAUAUCUGCUGGUAUUACCCAACUUUCGGUGGCUAUCCCAGAGUCCGGGGUACUUAGCGAUUCAUUACUCACCCGUUCGCCACUGAUGUAUUGCUACACCCGUUCGACUUACAUGUCUUAGCCACGCCGCCAGCGUUCAGGCUGAGCCAGGAUCAAACUCU